GCGCAGCAGGCGAGAAACUUCACACUGUGCGAAAGCACGAUGAGGGAAUCCUAAGUGCUUGCACGUAAGUGUAAGCUGUUCUCUGUCUAAACGCAGAGAGAGUAAGGGCUGGGUAAGACGGGUGCCAGCCGCCGCGGUAAUACCUGCAGCUCAAGUGGUGACCGUUAUUAUUGGGCCUAAAACGUCCGUAGCCGGUUUAAUAAAUGCCUGGGUAAAUUGUGUAGCUUAACUAUACGAAUUCCGGGUAGACUGUUAAACUUGAGACCGGGAGAAGUUAGAGGUACUCCUGGGGUAGAGGUGAAAAUUCUGUAAUCCUAGGGGGACCACCAGUGGCGAAGGCGUCUAACUAGAACGGGUCUGACGGUGAGGGACGAAG
rnacentral:rRNA from 1 species